AUUGUUUGAUACUGCAAUGGACAUAACAAGUCUAACAGUAGCUGCUUUCACAACAGGGAUAAAGGUAUCUUCAUAAUCUAUACCAUAUCUUUGUUUAAACCCCUUUGCAACUAAUCUAGCCUUGUAUCUGUCUAUUUCUCCAUUUUCCUUUUUUUUUAUUCUAAAAACCCAUUUGCAGUCAAUUAAGUUUCUCCCCAUUGCUGGAGGAACUAGAUGCCAUGUUCUAUUUUUCAUGAGGGCAUUAUAUUCCUCAUUCAUUGCAUUUUUCCAAUUUCUAUUUUCCAAUGCUUCUACCAAAGUAUUUGGUUCUCCUAUGACAGCAAGACCAGCAAAACGACGCCCUUUGUCAUACCUGACCGUACCGUCCGUACGUACUUUUGGUUUCAAAAUACCAUGCUGAGAUCUUGUUCUCGGUGGCGAGGCAGAAAUUAUCACAGAAGCCGGCUGCACAGAGGAUCCGGAGCCCUGCACAGUGGAUCCAGACCCUGACCCAGCCGCACCAGAUCCAAUGCGGAUACUGUUGCCAUCGCCAGCGUCCGCACCUGGGCCAGCAGUGACAGAUCCAAGGCGGAUGCUGUCGCCCACCUGCGACGCGCCUGGUUGGCCUGCGUCAUCAUGCGGAGGAGACCACCCCACUUGGCGUGUGGAGAGCAGCGCCUCACUGCUCGUGGGUCCACCUGACCCUGAGUGUGUGACGGCGCCUGUGCCUACGGGCCCGCGAGAGGACACACGUCGCGGUGACGCUGGAUCACCCGCUCCCGAGGCUGAUGCGGUGCGAAUCCCGCGGUCUGGAGCGGCAGGCGAGGGAGGAUCUUCCCCGGGAUCGCCGCUGGCUGGAUCCGGCGCAACACCUGAAUCUGCAUCGUGCUCCACACCUGUCUGCUGCAUAAAAUCAUAGCCAAAAAAGAAUUGCCACCAAAAUUUACAGCAGGAUUUUUAUGAAGAUUAACCGAAGGAUCAACUGUCUGUUCGCCCCCAUGAUCAAGAGGUUUGGAUGGAGCAGUUUCUGCAAGAAGAAGGACUUCGGAACGAAGAGGAACGCCGGCAUUUGGAUUUAGCGAGGCAAACGGAAAAAUAGUUUCGUCAAAGAUGACAUCGCGAGAAAUAUAGACGCGUCCUUCUUUGACAUCAAGGCACUUGAACCCUUUGUGGAGAUUGCUAUAGCCAAGGAAGACACAUUGUUUUGAAAGGAACUCUAGCUUCUUAGCAUGAAAGGGCCGGAGAUUUGGCCAGCACGCACAGCCAAAGGUGCGUAGGGCAUGGUAGUUUGGUUUUUCAUGGAACAAUUUUUCCAAAGGAGUGUCAAGAUUAAUCACCUUGCUAGGAGUACGAUUGAUAAGAUAGGUGGCAGCUAGAAAAGCCUCGUCCCAAAAUUUUAAGGGCAUAUAAGCAUGAGCAAAAAGUGAGAGACCCACGUCCACAAUAUGCCUAUGUUUUCUCUCGGCAGACCCAUUUUGUUGAUGGGCAUGUGGGCAUGAAACGUGAUGUGUGAUCCCUACUUGACGAAAGAAGGAGUUGAUGCGCUCAUACUCACCGCCCCAAUCUGUUUGCACGGUGAUAAUCUUGCGAUCAAAAAGUCAUUCAACUAGUGCUUGAAACUCAUGAAACACUUUGAAAACUUCUGAUCUAUGUUUGAGGAUAUAUAUCCACGUGAAUUUGCUGAAGUCAUCGAUGAAACUCACAUAAUAAUUCUUCUUAUUAAUUGAAUCUCAGGCAGGCCCCCAUACAUCAGAGAAAACUAGCUCUAAAGGAGAUUUUGAAAUACUACUAGAAUUUGGGUAGGGAAGUUGAUGGCUCUUGCCUUGUUGGCAAGCAUCACACACUCCCUCUUUAUUCAACUCUUUGCUAGAAAAGGAAAUUUGAUUGUGUCUAAGAACAUGUUAAACUAUUGCCGAAGAUGGAUGCCCUAAACGAUCGUGCCACCUUGAUGAAGAUAUCUUGGUGGCGCCAAGUGCAUGUCUGCCCGAGCUUAUUGGAGCUGAUGAUAGGGGAUAGAGCCCGUUUCUACAUCUGCCGCAGAGGAGGGUUUUCCUCGUUGCCUUGUCCUUGACAAAGAAAAAAUGAGGAUGAGUUUCAAGAAACACAUGAUUGUCAUUGGCUAGACGAUGAGCAGAGAUCAAGUUUUUAGUGGCUUUGGGCACAUGCAGAAUAUUUUUGAGAUGAAGAUUACGAGUAGGGGUACGAACAUAUGCAUGACCUAUAUGGGAAAUCUUCAUACCUACGCCGUUUGGCAUGUUUACUUGAUCGUGUCCAUUGUACUUGUCACGAAAGGUGAGCUUGUCGAGCUCACUGGUAAUGUGGUCUGUUGCACCUGAGUCCACAUACCAGUUUGUGUCCACGCCGUAGGAGGAGCCGGUGCCGUAGGAGGAGUUGGUGUUGACGGCUGCCGUGGUUUUCUCCUUGUUGAAGGAGACAUCAAAACGACGAUAGCACUCCAUGGCCGUGUGAUUUGGCUUGGAGCAGAUUUGGCAGAAGACUUCUGGCAGAUUGUUGCGGCCUCCUCCAUUGCCGCGGCCCCCGUCGCGACCACGCCCGCCGCCUCCAUUGCCACGGCCGCCUCCAUUGUGGCCACCAUUGCCACUGCGGCCACCAUCGCGGUUGGAUCCACCGCGUCCGCCACGAGACACGGCAUUGGCAGAGGAGUGGCCCUACGCCUUCAAACAUAGCCAGCCUGCUUUCAAAGCUGAUCAGCUGCGAGUAAAGCUCGCUCACCUUGAUUUGCUGGGUGCGGGCGCAGAUCGUGGAGACGAAAGACACGUAGUCGUAGUCGAGUCCCGCCAAGAUGUAGGACACCAUGUCGUCGUCGGUGAGCGGCUUGCCCACCGAUGCCAUCUCAUCACCGAGCGCUUUCAUGCACCCGAUGUAUUCGGACAUCGUCGAGUUGCCCUUCUUGGUGGUGGAGAGGGCGAUUCUGGUGUUGACGACGUGCGCCUGGGUUUGGGAGAUGAAGAUCUCCCUGAUGGCGGCUCAUGCUUCGGCCGCCGUGUCACAGUGUGCGACCUGAACCAUAACAGGAGCUGAGAUAGAGUUGAAGAUGAAGCUCAGCACCUGAGAAUCUCGAGCCUUGUCGGUGUCGUAUGCAGGGUUGGGCUCGUCCGUAGGCUUGCCGUCCUUGUCGUGGAGCUUCUGCUCCGGCUGCUCCCGAUCUGGGUCGAGAUAGGAGACGAGUUGUGCCCCACGGAUGGCUGCCAUGGCUUGCGCGCGCCAUACCAGGAAGUUGGAGCGAUGGAGUCGGUCGGCUAUGGGGAUGAGGGCAGGCGCGGCGACAGCGGAGCUUGAGGAGGCCAUGGCUACUAGAGAUGUGCUUUUAGAGGAGAUAGGCUCCGAAUACCAUGAAAGAUGGCUUGAAGUCUAUGCUUAGCAGGGACGCGUUCCGUGUUAUAUAUAGCCAUAGGGCUAGGGUUUACAGAUCCAGUAGUUGGUUAGGCUUGAUCCCCAAGUUAGCUAUUCUGCAGAUAAGGAUCGAAGCUUUAAACCUAACUACUGGUUUACAUAUUGAUACACACGCAACACCAAGAGAAUAUACGGUUUUAUAUACCCAACCGUAUAUACAUACAAUAUAUUCUAACAUCUCUUGCAUCUCCUGCCGGCGGAAUCGAUUCAGAUGUGUAGUGUAGUGCGUACGUGCUUGUCCUUCGGAAGAAUCCAUCCAGCAGCCAGGUUUCUCGAGGAUCUCAAUCAACCAGCUCGACCUUUGUGUAUUUGUGUCGCUCUUCGUUCGCGCGUUCCUUGAUGAGACCUUUGAUGUGAGCCGGGGCCUGCGCUAACAUUUCAUUCUUCCCCGGCAACGUACUAAGCUUCAGCCUGCACGGCUCAUGGUAUUCUCUGUUGACAUAGAGACGCUUCUUGGCAGGCCGGACAUGAAUGACGGUAACGAGGAGGAACUGUUUUGUAUGAAGGCGUUGGGCCUCAUCGAGCUGAUGAACGAGUAGACGACAGGGCGAGUCAAGCUCAGUGGUCAAGCUGGAGAUUGACGCCAAGCUAGUGUGUGGCCUUGAACCAGGAGCCCGCGGUGUCACGACGAUAUGCUUGAAAUCGAUUUCGACUACGGCUCACCUCAGGCCACAUCACACAAGAACGCGGCAAGCAGCGGUGUUUAGUUCCUCCUGAAGAUUGAUAUAAACAGAUAGAUAAACAGUGAACUGCCUAUAAUGCCCUUAAUUAAUGAAUAUACUACCAAAAAUCUGUUGUAGUAUUGGCUCAUCUGGAUCCUUCAACCACAUAAAUGGACGGCCCAAAUAGACUAGAUGCACCGUAAAAGGUCUCAAAAAGUACUCUCUCUGUCUGGUGUCAAAAACGUCUUACAUUAUGGAAUGGAGGGAAUAGCAUACUAGAAAAAUAGGAAAACACAACAACAUUGCACAUGUAACAACAACUGUAAUAUGAGACAAGAACAUAUCACGACGGAGGUAUUGUUCGUUCGUAGUAGGCGUAGCUGCUGCUGGAGCACAUUGUUGAUGACGGUGUUGGUGUCGAACUGGUGCGGACGGCGUUGAAGACGAUGAGUAGGCCCGUCUGACUUGGCCGAAUACGACCCAUGGUGACGAACUUAAGCAGUUGUGCAGAGCACUUUCCAAAAACCUAAUUCGUCCUCUCCUGAUACAGGAUCGUAAAGACGAACGGUUCCGGAUACCUUCUCUCCCGUGCGCCUAUGCACGUCAGCAUUUAGGAUGGAGUGACUACGACAGCAGCGCAAGUUGCAUGAUGAGGCAAAACCCUAGGUAUUUCGAUGUGUCUUUGGCCGUGGCCGGUAAGCAGUAUAUGUACGAGGACCAUAGACAGUACCGUGUCGCGAUCACGAUCUCAAACUGAUUUGGUUUCCAAGUCGUGAACUUACCAGACAAGUAAAUGAUCAACUUGUCUUCCAAGACAUUAAAAUAUAAAAACGACAAAAGAAAGUCGUGCUCUUGCAAGGCCACUGACCAGAUUUUGGCAGAGCAUCACGCGCAUGUCGCACAUCCGCCCUAUCCUGAGCUCGGCAAGGCGAGGCGAGCACACACGUGUAGUCUUCUCUUUUUCUCCUCAACACAUCACUUAGUGUGGUGGAGAAAAUCCACUAUAUAAAGAGGUCAAUAUUUCUAACAACCCCCACUACCAUUUAGAGAUUUGCCUUUUCUCACUACUUGUUUAAUAUACCAGUGUUACAGCAGAAAUUGUUAAGUUGAACUUCUGCGUAGAGCUUUAAGCUACAUCUAUCUACAACUUCACAAUGAACUAUGUCUUGAAUUGCAAGUUUAGUGUGAAUUGAUUUCUACUCAAAGUCUUAACUAGUACCUGGCUGCCAGUAGGCUACCCCACGGUUUGGAGCAUGUACGACAUACUCCUUGGUCUCUUCGCGAGCUUACUAGAGAUCACUCAAGUCUCAUAGACUACGAUGCACAAUUAGGGCUCAUAUAGGUAUGUUAUUUCAUGACUGCUCUAUGGGACAUCUUUGCUAAUCAUAGCCAAUAGAACCACAUUAAGGCAUGUUGCCAACCUGUCUUACAGCUCUGAGCCUUACAGGCAAUCUCGAAGCUCGACGCCAAUCUUGAUUAGCUCUAUGGGCGCAUUAACGAUGUCAAGUUGCCCAUCAACACCGACCUCGACGAGCUUCAGAAUGGUCUGGAUCAUUCCGGACAAACCGUUGAUUCGUCCAAGGGAGCGGAACGACUGGUCCCGAUGGGCACCGUGGUAACAACGAGAUUCGGGGGUCUAGGCAUAAACACUAUGUCCCACCCCUACCAGAGGUAUGCAGCCCGACCAGUUCAAUUCGCAAUCUCCACUCAGUUUAAUUGAAAACAUGCAUUGGAAUUCUACAGAUGUUUUUGGUUUGGGGCCCUAGAUUGAGUUGCCUCAUUUUGACGGCGCCAAUCUAAAACUCUGGCAAUCACGUUGUGGAAACUACUUCAAGCUCUGGAAUACGCCAUAGUCGCUUUAGAUUUCCUAUGUUUCGUUGCUAUUCGUGGGAGCUGCUGCCCGUGUCUAAAGUGUUUCACCGACGAGUUCCUCACAUUAAUUGUGAGGAAUUUUGUCGCCUACUGCAGUCCUGUUUCAGUUGCAGCCAACACCAAUAUAUUUUGAGGAAAAGUUUCAGCAUCAUCAGUCAGGAACGGUGGAUGAUUACGUUGAGUGAUUCUCUGAUAUGUAUGACAAGCUAUCAACAUAUUAUGAGAGAAAAUGCAUUAGAAUUGCUCCACAAAGUAUUAUAUUGAUUGAAAACACUAUAAAUGACAGUAGGGAAACAUGAUGCAAAAUGGACGUAUCACUCGACUUUGACCAGUUUGGCUUGGUAAUCCUAUAUGCAGUCAUGCUCUGAUACCAAAACAGCCGGGACCCCAAUCCUAAGUCACACUGAUCUAGCAAGUAACACAUCAUAUCACUUUGCAGCCUCACACACGGUAUCCCCAUGGCUGUCACCUUACCUUGGCCGGGACCGUUUGCGUCUUCUGGCUCACGCAUAUGAUUGUGUCACUAGCAUCCAUAUGACAGAGAAUCUGAGUCGACAUGACUAGUCGUAAACCAAGGUGGCACAAACUUACAAGGAGAGGCAUACGUAACCCAACAGUGCAUGUGUCGGUCAACAUCGUGUGCAACCGAGUCGUAGCAAGCUACAAGGACUUCAGUAAAACACCGCGUGACAUUUCCCCGAAGGGACAUACAUAUGAGCAAAGAAGGAUACAUGACGGUCAAUCCAUGUGUUCUGGAGCAGUAGCGAAACUCGGUGGAAGCACUAAGUGGCAUUUUCCCAUAAAGCAGGCUACCAAGAAUAAACAACUAGGUGUCAGAUCCCACACAUACCUAAGCAUUUCAAUAACAUACACACAAUAUGCUCGAUAUGUGUAGAUACAACAUGGCAUCACAACAUAAUUCUAUGACUCAAAGUAUUUCUUUAAGAGGCUGCGAGGAGCCUUACAUAGCUUGAUUUUACAAACAUGGGUCUCAUGACCCAACAUACGACGUCAUAUGAUACGUCUCCAACAUAUCAAUAAUUUUUGAUUGCUCCAUGCUAUAUUAUCUACUGUUUUGGACAUUAUUGGGAUUUAUUAUCCACUUUUAUAUUAUUUUUGGGACUAACCUAUUAACCGGAGGCCCAGCCCAGAAUUGUUGUUUUUCCCUAUUUUAGGGUUUCGAAGAAAAGGAAUAUCAAACGGAGUCCAAACGGAAUGAAACCUUCGGGAACGUAAUUUUCUCACCGAACAUGAUCCAGGAGACUUAGACCCUACGUCAAGCAACCAACAGGGAGGCCACGAGGUAGGGGGCGCGCCUACCCCCCCGCAGGCGUGCCCUCCAUCCUCGUGGGCCCCCUAUUGCUCCACCGACGUACUUCUUCCUCCUAUAUGUACCUACGUACCCCCAAACGACCACAUACGGAGCCAAAACCCUAAUUCCACCGCUGUAACUUUUUGUAUCCACGAGAUCCCAUCUUGGGGCUUGUUCCGGAGCUCCGCCGGAGGGGGCAUCGAUCACGGAGGGCUUCUACAUCAACACCAUAGCCUCUUCGAUGAAGUGUGAGUAGUUUACCUCAGACCUACGGGUCCAUAGUUAUUAGCUAGAUGGCUUCUUCUCUCUUUUUGGAUCUCAAUACAAAGUUCUCCCCCUCUCUUGUGGAGAUCUAUUCGAUGUAAUCUUCUUUUGCGGUGUAUUUGUUGAGACUG
rnacentral:lncRNA from 1 species